rnacentral:rRNA from 1 species
GAGUGAAGCGGCAAAAGCUCAAAUUUGAAAUCUGGCUCUUUCAGAGUCCGAGUUGUAAUUUGAAGAAGGUAUCUUUGGGUCUGGCUCUUGUCUAUGUUUCUUGGAACAGAACGUCACAGAGGGUGCGAAUCCCGUGCGAUGAGAUGAUCCAGGCCUAUGUAAAGUUCCUUCGAAGAGUCGAGUUGUUUGGGAAUGCAGCUCUAAGUGGGUGGUAAAUUCCAUCUAAAGCUAAAUAUUGGCGAGAGACCGAUAGCGAACAAGUACAGUGAUGGAAAGAUGAAAAGAACUUUGAAAAGAGAGUGAAAAAGUACGUGAAAUUGUUGAAAGGGAAGGGCUUGAGAUCAGACUUGGUAUUUUGUAUGUUACUUCUUCGGGGGUGGCCUCUACAGUUUAUCGGGCCAGCAUCAGUUUGGGCGGUAGGAGAAUUGCGUUGGAAUGUGGCACGGCUUCGGUUGUGUGUUAUAGCCUUCGUCGAUACUGCCAGCCUAGACUGAGGACUGCGGUUUAUACCUAGGGAUGUUGGCAUAAUGAUCUUAAGUCGCCCGUCUGA